CUCUGUCUACAAAAUACCUGGGAGGAAUCAACUCAAAGGGAGAGAGUUAUUUUUCUUGUGGUUUCAGAGAUUUCAGCUUGUGGCCUGCUUGCUUUAGGGCCAGGAAGGACGGCGGGGGAGCGGGGGGAGGGGGGUUGGGGGGAGAGAGAGGGAAGGGUAUGGGAAGGAAGAGGGAGGAGACAGGAAAGGACACGCCCACUUCCAGGUGUGGCUUAGCUUGCUACUGGGGCACUGUCGCCCACCAAUGCUGUCCAGGCAGGCCUUCCCUUGCAGUGUGCGGACCUGGAAACAGCUUGCUUGCUCUUUUGGGUGCCCUGAAGGGCUCCCUUUGUUCAUGCUUAACACUCUACUGGGCAAACAAACCACAUCCCGUUAGCAGCGGGUCCCCAAGCCUCUGUUCUGGCAGGUCCCUUGUCCCUUUGCCAGGCCCAGAGUCCGGGCCAAAGUUCCUAGAACUUGGGAAUUCCUAAUAAUUAACCCGGGAUCCCCGGGGGUUGAGUGGAAUGAGACGCUCGAACAGGGAAGCUGCCGUUUCCAGACCCCAAAGUGUUCACUGCGACCUGCUCUGAACACCUCCCGGGCCAGCCUCCACCCCGCCCCUUCCGCGUCCAGCUCUGACUAUUCCUUGCCAGUGUGCUCUCCACUAGCAGAGCUCCUUGGGUGUAUCCCGGGGACAAUCAAGAAGCCCUCUGUUGACCCAGAGGACACAGGGAGGAGGACUCUGCUGCUGUGGCUUUCCCUGUCUGGCCAGUGCCCCUCCUCGCUCCUCGUUCACUGAGCCAGCCCUGAGUGAUGCAGAGCUAAGCCGCUUAGCAGCUGAGAACCUUCCCAGAGCGGCUCCUUCUGAGGCGCCUUGUAAAUUAAAGCUUGAAGCAGGAAGCAAACCCCUCAAGUGCGAUUUAGUCUAAGUGUUCUCAUUCAUUUUAAUUCUAAAAAUGCAACAUCAUAAAACGGCACACCUGGCCUGUUCACAAGCUAAUGACGGCGCUUACCGCCUAGAUGAAUUCGGGGGCUGGAACAGUAAUGAAAUUAGCAGCAUUCACUGAACGAACGUGGCCUCCUCAACACCUUCCAGUUAGGUGGCUGUUACCCCUCAAUGAGGCAAGUGCCAUAGUCUGUCCUGACUGACUUCCAGGUAGCAGAAUAGAGACAGGGUUGGUAAUUUGGCCAAAGUCACACAGCUAGAAAGGUGUGUGUCUGUGUGUGCGUGUGUGUGUGUCUGUGUGUGUGUGUCACUGGGCUGGUGAGAUGGCUCAGUGGGUAAAGGUGCUUGCCGCCAAACCUGCGGGUCUGAGUUUGAUCCCCAUAGGAGAGAGCUGACUAAAGUUGUUCCCUGAACACAUACACACUGAAAUGAAACAUUUUUUUUUUCCAAAGAAAGGAGGCAGCUGCAAUGUGGGGGUCUUGGUAGUGGGGUACGGUUCACUGAGGUGGGCCAAAAGACCUCUCCCCCAGCCCCUCUUGGGAUGCUUGCUGCUUCCUGGGUGGGUGCCAAAGUCAGAUCUGAAGUCCUCUGUGGCCUCACUGGCAUAGAGAGCGGACCCUGGGUAUCCAUGAGAGGAAGAAGCUAGAGCUAGGUGGACUGGGGACAUGCAGGGGACAUGCCUGUACUCGACUGUGGAAAUUCUCAGGUUUGCAUGAGAUUUGAAGGAAACUUGGGAACCUGAGUGCUGUGGCUCGUGGCUGACUUCCAGCUCCCUGAGGCUGAUGCAGGAAUGUCACCACGAGGUUAUCAAGAUCAUUAAGGCUAGCCUGGGCUAGCUCCAGGUCAACCUGGUCUAACUAUCGAGGCCUGAUCUCUGGAGCAGAACCAUGUGCCAGGCGGUGCGGAUGUGCAGUUCACUGAGGUGGGCUAAGAGACCGCUCCCCUCCCCUCCCCCCGGGUUAAUUAUUAGGAACAUGGAUGCUUAUGGAAGCUGACAGUCUCUGUCUCUUGUUUGACUUGUUUUCUUGGUGAGUGACUCUGGUUCUGACCUCUGCCCCACAUAGGCCAUCCCUCACCGGGUGGUUCAACCUCCCAGGGAGUCUGCUUUACAUCUCCUUUAGUUGUACCUGGUUUUUAUCUUUUGUAAGAGAAAACCUCAUGUAGCCCAGGCUGGCCUCAGGGAGAAUGACCUUGAAGUCUUGUCUUGUCUUUUUUUUUUUCUUAUGUAUAGGAGUACACUGUAGCUGUACAGAUGGUUGUGAGCCUUCACGUGGUUGUGAGCCUUCACAUGGUUGUUGGGAAUUGAAUUUUUUUUAGGACCUCCUCUCACUCCGGUUAGCUCCCACCCAAAGAUUUAUUUAUUAUUAUACAUAAGUACAUUGUAGCUGUCUUCAGAAGAGGGCAUCAGAUCUCCAUGUGUGUGAGCCACCAUGUGGUUGCUGGGAUUUGAACUCAGGACCUUGAGAAGAGCAGUCAGUGCUCUUACUGGCUGAGCCAUCUUGCCAGUCCAGCCUUGAAGUCUAAUCCUCCUGCCACCACCUCCCCAUGUUUGGAUCUGCCUAGUGCUCACUGGUUUGCCUCCAUCCAAUUUGGUUUGCCUCUCAACAGAAGGAGCGCUGAGACUGCGGAACGGCCUUCUAGCCUCCCCUUCCCUUCCUCUGCCCCUCGCAACACCUACCAGCCCUCCGUUUCUAGAAUGUCACCAUUUCAUACUGUUCUAUAAAUGGAGUCUGCAGCCUGGCGCAGCCUGGCGUCUGCUGGGACGAGCUUUUUGUCUCGGUGGAUCUCCCUGGAGAGUCUCCCAAGCUGCUGUGAGAGUCCAGUCUGUCUGGACGUUUGUAGGUAGACUCAGGGAGAGUGGCUGGGAGCAGACCAGACGCAAUCAGGUUGGGGAAUCUGAGGGUGGAAUGUGGGGCAAGCAGCAGCCCCACCCUCCCAGCCCCCAAGUCAUGUGGUCAUGGAGAGGGUGGACGACAUCACUCUAAAGUGCUGGGACGGAGCAUAACUGGUAAGACCGUUCACAGGACACCAGAGAGAUUGGGGCCAGAGUUUGGGUCCAGGUAGAAGGAAGGAAGGGAAUCGGGGACCUUGUGUGUGCCAGGCUCGCCCUCUGUACCAGGUACGGCAGAAAGGAAAGGAUCUAAAGACACGCUUGUGUCUCAGUCUAUCAAGCUACUGAAACGACGGGCACUAGAGAUAUGGGACUUCCCCCAGGAAUGGCAUGCGGAGAGAAGGAAAAGGCACCAGCUCAAGGAGGGGACUUAACGUCGUUGGAAAGAGAUUUCGCCCAGUUCUCCGGAACUGAAGCACAGACACAGAAGGCUCAGUGGUGGGCGGGACCACACCUUGGCCCGGGCUAAAUAGCUGUGCAAGUCCCUGGCUUCUAUUAAACUUUGAUUUCUCCUUAGG